GUCAAAUCACGUAAAAAGGUUUUUAAAAAAGCUGUACGAAAUAUUUAAAUUAAAAAAAGAGAGAUUUGCAAACGGGGGAAGCGUGUCCUUCAGCCUCUUCGACUGGGGCACAACCUUAAACUACUUCAUUCUUGAUUCGCCCGUCUCGAAUACGACACACGAAGCCUCGAACCGGUGAUGACGGACAUUUUUAAGAAAAAUAAGUCAGGCCCGGCCGCUUUUGCAAAGGAUACUUGCUGAACGGAUCUCUGUAUGGCCGUGUCUGGAGACUGCGAUUCCUUCAGUAGCUGCAGAAUUUGCUGGAGUCCUUGCUCAUCGGGUUUCCACUCGUACUCCAUCUUGGUUUGCUGCAAUGAAACAGAGAGAGUCGGGUCAAACACCAAACUGCAAACACAUUCAAACUCACCAUUAGCGACUGCCCUUUACCGCAAUGCAAAAUUGAAACUCAACUUAAUUCCCGACAGACCUGACUGUACUUUACAAAGUAUGCGUUUUCUUUGCCCUCAAUCAAACGUGAUAACAAAUUCUACUGACACUGCACCGCCAGGGCCUAAAACGACAGACUCAUGGCGAAUUUUCAAUCCACUCAGACAACAGAGCUGAAAGCCUGCUCCCUUCCCCGGGUCCUAAUGCGCAGCCGGUCAUACGUCUCACCACAAAUCUGCCAAUCUCCUUCGCUGGGUCCUAAAGACAUAUCAGUCGGCACGGAAUUGAAAAUACUUCAAAAAUCAGUAAAAUUAACUUUAGAAAACUUUGUUAACGCUUCAUAGAAGAACAAAAUCAAUUAUUUAAUAUUACUGCGUGAACAGCAAGGAGGAGGGCAUUGCUGACCAGGCAGCAUUAUGUGCCCAGAGGGCAGUUGAGAGUCAACUACAUUGCUGUCAGUAGGCCAGACCAGUCACAUUAGUGGAAUCUCAGGCUUUACACACUCCAAAGUGUGAUUAUUAAUUGGACGAAUAAAGGCAACCAAUCCAAGUCAACUCCGCCAGUUCAUUAUUGCUAGA